UACAUUCACCUGGGCAGCAACUUCCACACACACACAAGCAUGAGUGCAAGGAGAUCACCAUCAUUCCUGGCAGGAAGCUCUGCAGCCAGACAGAGGCUAUGCUACAUACCCGAUGAAGCAGAUUCAAGAGGCCCAGGGAGAGCCAGCUCCAUGAGUUUGCUGGAGGAGGGAGAAAGAAGAGAGAAUUCUGUUUGUGAGGUCUCAGCCUUGGUGGCCAACCAGAAAGGGAAGAAAAACAGGAAGAUGCGGGGCAGGUGAGGAGCUGGGUGAGUGCCGCCAGCCCGCAGCCCAGCAGAGCAGGGCUUGGCCAACCCUGGCGCCAGGGACUUCCCCCCUACCCCCGCCACAAGCCCCUCGCCAG
rnacentral:lncRNA from 1 species